rnacentral:lncRNA from 1 species
CGCACACGUCAUCACUCAUUGACCCUCCCCUCCACCAGAAGUGAAGACAACUUUGAACGUUUCGCGAUUUCCAUUCAGUGCACUUAUAAAUCAUCCUAAAGGCAGCUAACUCGGGCGGUCACGUGACCAGCGGAGCAAGCUUCAGUUGGUGACGUUGAGUCAGACGCCACAACAACCAGAGAGAGAGAGUGAGCGUAGUGCGUGUGUCUGGUGGAUGCGUGCUAACAGUGAAGCUGUUGUGCGCUGAGCAACACAGUCUCUCAGAGGUAUGCUGGUUAACUGCCUUGUUCGCCACUGAUUAUCCUAAACUGAUACUCUAAUAAUGUACACUGUAUACUAGUCAAGAGAGAGACAUGACGGAAACGCGACAAGUGUGGAAUAGAAGCAAGGUUUCUGUUAUUCUCGGCUUAAUACUCUUCACUCUACACAUUAUCAGCUGUACAACUCUUGGUAAGUACUCAAGUAAUUUUCUAUAUGUCACGUGUACACUCAAAAAGUAUCUUAUUCUUUCUCAUUUCAUCUCGGACAUCGUGUCGCAUCCUCCAGUCGAUCAUUAUUGUCAAUUAUUUUUAACUUGAGAACUUAAAAUUUUUUUUAAUUUUUAUUGUCGACUUUGGUUAGAAGUAUUUGUUAUUAGUGAUAUUAUCUUUGUAUCGACUUUCUGGAUAAAAACUUUUUUUGCCGUGUUUCUUGUAAACCGAUCAAAAGAGGAAAGGAGGGCGGGUGGAAAAAAAACACAGAAACGUGGAAUCGACACAACACUGGCCGCAAAAGAUAAGAAGGAGACACUAAAGAAAAAUCUGCAGCACAUUUUGUACCUUUCUUAAAAUAUAAAGUAAAAAGAAAAAUAGUAUAAUAGAAAUGCACUUAGCGCUACUUUCACCUUUUGAAUGCAUUUUCAAUAUUUUAAGACAUGAA